GAGGAAUAUUGGUCAAUGGGCGCAAGCCUGAACCAGCCAUCCCGCGUGAAGGAAGAAGGCGCUAUGCGUUGUAAACUUCUUUUCCAGGGGAAUAAAAUUUUGUACGUGUACGGAAUUGAAGGUACCCUGGGAAUAAGCAUCGGCUAACUCCGUGCCAGCAGCCGCGGUAAUACGGAGGAUGCGAGCGUUAUCCGGAUUUAUUGGGUUUAAAGGGUGCGUAGGCGGACUAAUAAGUCAGUGGUGAAAACCUGCAGCUUAACUGUAGAACUGCCAUUGAUACUGUUGGUCUUGAGUGUGGUCAAGGUAGGCGGAAUGUGUAAUGUAGCGGUGAAAUGCUUAGAUAUUACACAGAACACCGAUUGCGAAGGCAGCUUGCUGGGCCAUUACUGACGCUGAUGCACGAAAGCGUGGGGAUCGAAC
rnacentral:rRNA from 1 species